UUUUUAAUUGGGAUCUUGUAUGAAUGAUUGAACAAAAGAAAACCUGUCUUUAUAUUAAAUUUUGAAUUUAACUUUUAAGUGAAAAGGCUUAAAUGUUCUAAAGGGACGAUAAGACCCUAUAAAACUUUACAUUAAUAAUUAAUUUUUUUUUAAUUUUUAUUAUAACUAUUAAUUUAGUUUUUAUUGUUUUAUUGGGGAGAUGUAAGCUAUAAUUUGUGUUAACUGCUUAAUAAAGAAUCAAUAGUUUAUGAGUGGUUAUUAAAAGAUCCUUUAUAAAGAUUAAAAGAUUAAGUUACUUUAGGGAUAACAGA
rnacentral:rRNA from 1 species